rnacentral:rRNA from 1 species
GAUGAACGCUGGCGGCGUGCCUAAUACAUGCAAGUCGAGCGAACAGACGAGGAGCUUGCUCCUCUGACGUUAGCGGCGGACGGGUGAGUAACACGUGGAUAACCUACCUAUAAGACUGGGAUAACUUCGGGAAACCGGAGCUAAUACCGGAUAAUAUAUUGAACCGCAUGGUUCAAUAGUGAAAGACGGUUUUGCUGUCACUUAUAGAUGGAUCCGCGCCGCAUUAGCUAGUUGGUAAGGUAACGGCUUACCAAGGCAACGAUGCGUAGCCGACCUGAGAGGGUGAUCGGCCACACUGGAACUGAGACACGGUCCAGACUCCUACGGGAGGCAGCAGUAGGGAAUCUCCCGCAAUGGGCGAAAGCUUGACGGAGCAACGCCGCGUGAGUGAUGAAGGUCUUCGGAUCGUAAAACUCUGUUAUUAGGGAAGAACAAAUGUGUAAGUAACUAUGCACGUCUUGACGGUACCUACUCAGAAAGCCACGGCUAACUACGUG